CAAUUAUUGGUGGAAAUUGUGCUCUACAGGGUUUUGAUCAUAAAGGAAACGAUCUCUUUUGGACGGUUACUGGAGAUAAUGUUCAGUCCUUGGCCUUGUGUGACUUUGAUGGUGAUGGGAAGAAAGAGCUUCUUGUUGGCUCUGAGGAUUUUGAUAUCCGAGUUUUUAAAGAAGAUGAGAUUGUGGCAGAAAUG